rnacentral:rRNA from 1 species
AAUACAUAACCGACCUGAGAAGGAAAUCGGCCACACUGGGACUGAGACACGGCCCAGACUCCUACGGGAGGCAGCAGUAGGGAAUCUUCGGCAAUGGACGGAAGUCUGACCGAGCAACGCCGCGUGAGUGAAGAAGGUUUUCGGAUCGUAACGCUCUGUUAAAGAGAAGAACGAGUGUGAGAGUGGAAAGUUCACACUGUGACGGUAUCUUACCAGAAAGGGACGGCUAACUACGUGCCAGCAGCCGCGGUAAUACGUAGGUCCCGAGCGUUGUCCGGAUUUAUUGGGCGUAAAGCGAGCGCAGGCGGUUAGAUAAGUCUGAAGUUAAAGGCUGUGGCUUAACCAUAGUACGCUUUGGAAACUGUUUAACUUGAGUGCAAGAGGGGAGAGUGGAAUUCCAUGUGUAGCGGUGCAAUGCGUAGAUAUAUGGAGGAACACCGGUGGCGAAAGCGGCUCUCUGGCUUGUAACUGACGGUGAGGCUCGAAAGCGUGGGGAGCAAACAGG